UACUGCAGCCAUACCACCCUGAAUGAACCCAAUGUUGUCAGGACUUGGAAGAUUAUAAGGUUGUACCUGGUCCAGUACUUGAAUGGGAGAAUUCAUCAGUUAACCAUUUAGUCUUGCAGUUU
ensembl:rRNA 5S_rRNA 5S ribosomal RNA